rnacentral:rRNA from 1 species
CGGUUGAUCNNNGGACCCGANUGCUAUUUGGGUGAGAAUAAGCCAUGCGAGUUGAAUGGGAUNNNAAAGUUCCCAUAGCAAACUGCUCAGUAACACAUGAUCAACUUACCCNAUAGAGAAAAAUAACCUCGGGAAACUGAGGAUAAUGUUUCAUAAUUGAAUUGGCUUGGAAAAGUUUUUCAAUGAAAAGAAUAAAAAAAAUGGUUUUUAUCUGCUAUAGGAUAGGAUCGUGUUCGAUUAUGGUUGUUGGUGAGAUAAUGGCUCACCAAGCCGAUAAUCGAUAGGGGCCGUGAGAGCGGGAGCCCCGAGAUGGGUACUGAGACAACGACCCAGGCCUUACGAGGCGCAGCAGGCGCGGAACCUCCGCAAUACACGAAAGUGUGACGGGGUUACCCAAAGUGUUCAAUAGAACUGUGGUAGGUGAGUAAUGUCCCCUACUAGAAAGGAGAGGGCAAGGCUGGUGCCAGCCGCCGCGGUAAAACCAGCUCUUCAAGUGGUCGGGAUAAUUAUUGGGCUUAAAGUGUCCGUAGCCGGUUUAGUUAGUUCCUGGUAAAAUCGGGUAGCUUAACUAUCUGUAUGCUAGGAAUACUGCUAUACUAGAGGGCGGGAGAGGUCUGAGGUACUACAGGGGUAGGGGUGAAAUCUUAUAAUCCUUGUAGGACCACCAGUGGCGAAGGCGUCAGACUGGAACGCGCCUGACGGUGAGGGACGAAAGCCAGGGGAGCGAACCGGAUUAGAUACCCGGGUAGUCCUGGCCGUAAACGAUGCAUACUAGGUGAUGGUACGGCCAUGAGCCGUAUCAGUGCCGUAGGGAAACCGUUAAGUGUGCCGCCUGGGAAGUACGGUCGCAAGGCUAAAACUUAAAGGAAUUGGCGGGGGAGCAC